GGGGGUGUAGCUCAGUGGUAGAGCGUUCGCCUUGCAUGUGAAAUGCCCUGGGUUGGAUUCCCAGCACCUCCA
rnacentral:tRNA from 1 species